rnacentral:tRNA from 1 species
GGCCCAUUCGACUAGGGGUCUAGGUCAUCAGACCCUCAUUCUGAAAACAGCGGUUCGAAUCCGCUAUGGGCUA